ACGUCGAAGCGCUGCUCCUGGAGCCGCGGAGGGUGCGGGUUUGGCUGCGGUGGUUUCUGUGGCGGUUGCUGUGGCGGAGUUUGGAGGUUGGAGAGAAAUCCAGGUACUCACUAGACUGGUACCUUCUGCCACCAUGGGGGAGCUUUUCCGGAGUGAAGAAAUGACACUGGCCCAGCUUUUUCUACAGUCAGAGGCUGCUUAUUGUUGUGUCAGUGAAUUAGGAGAACUUGGAAAGGUUCAGUUUCGUGACUUAAAUCCAGAUGUGAAUGUUUUCCAACGGAAAUUUGUGAAUGAAGUUAGAAGAUGUGAAGAAAUGGAUCGAAAGCUUCGAUUUGUUGAGAAAGAGAUAAGAAAAGCUAACAUUCCGAUUAUGGACACCGGUGAAAACCCAGAGGUUCCCUUCCCCCGGGACAUGAUUGACUUAGAGGCCAAUUUUGAGAAGAUUGAAAAUGAACUGAAGGAAAUCAACACAAACCAGGAAGCUCUGAAGAGAAACUUCCUGGAACUGACCGAAUUAAAAUUUAUACUUCGCAAAACUCAGCAAUUUUUUGAUGAGGCUGAAUUGCAUCAUCAGCAGAUGGCGGAUCCAGACUUGUUGGAAGAGUCCUCAUCCCUCUUGGAGCCAAGUGAGAUGGGAAGAGGCACUCCUUUAAGACUUGGCUUCGUGGCUGGUGUCAUUAACCGGGAGCGCAUCCCUACUUUUGAGCGCAUGCUUUGGCGGGUAUGCCGGGGAAAUGUGUUCCUGCGACAGGCUGAAAUCGAGAACCCCCUGGAGGAUCCUGUGACUGGCGACUACGUGCACAAGUCUGUGUUUAUCAUUUUCUUCCAAGGCGAUCAGCUGAAAAACAGAGUCAAGAAAAUCUGUGAAGGGUUCCGAGCCUCACUCUAUCCCUGUCCUGAGACACCACAGGAGAGGAAGGAAAUGGCUUCUGGAGUGAAUACCAGGAUUGAUGAUCUCCAAAUGGUUCUGAAUCAAACGGAGGAUCACCGCCAGAGGGUUCUGCAGGCAGCUGCUAAGAACAUCCGUGUCUGGUUCAUCAAAGUGCGGAAGAUGAAGGCCAUCUAUCACACCCUGAACCUGUGCAACAUAGAUGUGACUCAGAAAUGCUUGAUUGCAGAGGUCUGGUGCCCUGUCACCGACCUUGACUCCAUCCAGUUUGCACUCAGAAGGGGCACGGAACACAGUGGUUCCACUGUACCUUCCAUUUUGAACAGGAUGCAGACAAACCAGACUCCCCCAACCUAUAACAAAACCAACAAGUUUACCUAUGGCUUUCAGAACAUAGUAGAUGCUUAUGGAAUUGGAACUUACCGAGAGAUAAAUCCAGCUCCGUAUACUAUUAUCACGUUCCCUUUUCUAUUUGCUGUGAUGUUUGGAGACUUCGGUCAUGGCAUUUUAAUGACCCUUUUUGCUGUGUGGAUGGUACUGAGGGAGAGCCGGAUCCUUUCCCAGAAGAAUGAGAAUGAGAUGUUUAGCACUGUGUUCAGUGGUCGAUACAUUAUUUUAUUGAUGGGUGUGUUCUCCAUGUACACUGGCCUCAUCUACAAUGAUUGCUUUUCCAAGUCUCUUAAUAUCUUUGGGUCAUCCUGGAGUGUACGGCCGAUGUUUACUUAUAAUUGGACUGAAGAGACGCUUCGGGGGAACCCUGUUCUACAGCUGAACCCAGCCCUCCCUGGAGUGUUUGGUGGACCAUACCCUUUUGGCAUUGAUCCAAUUUGGAACAUUGCUACCAAUAAACUGACGUUCUUGAACUCCUUUAAGAUGAAGAUGUCUGUUAUCCUUGGUAUCAUCCAUAUGCUGUUUGGAGUCAGCCUGAGUCUGUUCAACCAUAUCUAUUUCAAGAAGCCCCUGAAUAUCUACUUUGGAUUUAUUCCUGAAAUAAUCUUCAUGACCUCUUUGUUUGGCUAUUUGGUUAUCCUUAUUUUUUACAAGUGGACGGCCUAUGAUGCUCAUACCUCUGAGAAUGCACCAAGCCUUCUGAUCCAUUUCAUAAACAUGUUCCUCUUUUCCUACCCAGAGUCUGGUUAUUCAAUGUUGUAUUCUGGACAGAAAGGAAUUCAGUGUUUCCUGGUAGUGGUUGCACUACUGUGUGUACCUUGGAUGCUGCUGUUUAAACCAUUGGUCCUUCGCCGUCAGUAUUUGAGGAGAAAGCAUUUGGGAACUCUCAACUUUGGUGGGAUCAGGGUGGGCAACGGACCGACAGAGGAGGAUGCUGAGAUUAUUCAGCAUGACCAGCUCUCCACCCACUCAGAGGACGCAGACGAGCCUUCCGAGGACGAAGUGUUUGACUUUGGGGACACCAUGGUCCACCAGGCCAUCCACACCAUCGAGUACUGCCUGGGCUGCAUCUCCAACACUGCCUCCUACUUGCGGCUCUGGGCCCUCAGCCUCGCUCAUGCGCAGCUGUCUGAGGUGCUUUGGACCAUGGUGAUCCACAUCGGCCUGAGCGUGAAGAGCUUGGCGGGAGGUUUGGUGCUGUUCUUCUUCUUCACUGCCUUUGCCACCCUGACCGUGGCCAUCCUCCUGAUCAUGGAGGGCCUCUCGGCCUUUCUCCACGCACUGCGCUUACACUGGUCCCCCUGAACUGAAGUGAUGAGUGGCAGGACAGCAGGCUCCGGAAUUGGGCGACCUGGGUUGGAAUUCCAGCACUGUCACACCAGGCAGGGAACCUGAGCAGAACAUUCACUGCCAAGAUUACUGUGAGCAAGUAGGAAGUAAUGCACACACCAAGUGCUGCCACAGCAAAAGCAGGUGCUCUAGGAUGGGUAGUGGCUGCUCUGCUUAAAAGUGGGAUGCCCUUACUGGGUGCGAUGGCUCACACCUAUAAUCCCAGCAUUCUGGGAGGCUGAGGCAGGCAGAUCACCUGAGGUCAGGAGUUCGAGACCAGCCUGGACAACAUGGUGAAACCCCAUCUCUACUAAAAAUGCAAACAUUAGCUGGGCGUGAUGGUGGGCGCCUGUAAUCCCAGCUACUCGGGAGGCUGAGGCAAGAGAAUCGCUUGAACCCAGGAGAUGGAGGUUGCAGUGAGCCAAGAUCGCGCCACUGCACUGCAACCUGGGCGACAGACCGAGACUCCGUCUCAAAACAACAACAACAACAACAACAACAAAAAAACCUGGGAUGCCCUAGAGAGAGGGUGUCUGCCUGGGGUCCCCCAUAAAAAGACUGCUUUUAGCCUGUCUAGAGUGAGAGAAGACCCCAGAGGAGGCAGAGGAUACCAUCAGAAUGCCCUCAGGUGCUGUUUGCAAGGAACAGCCUCCCCAUAUAUGUCGUAUUUAUUUUGGCAAUAGGAGUAUUGGGUAGGAGAGGAAAAAACAGUGCAAACCUCCUUUGUGCAACUUCCAGAAUCUCGUCUUUGGAGGGCUGUUCCCGUGACACGAGUGGGGCGCCUCCCCCACCACUAAAACAGAAGUGAAUGAAAUUGGUGCUUGUGCGCCCCCUCCUGGCAAAAUGCGGCUGUGCGUCCAGGAUGCCUGGAUCUUCCCUGUGGCCCAGGACUGCAGGAGGCGUUCUGAGCUGUGGCCCUCUUACCAGGGGUGGAGCCUCUGGGGCUGCUGAACCAGCUGUAGGGAUGGUGCUGCUGUUCUUCCUGGCAUCCAUCCUAGGCAUCUUCAUACCUCCCACUUUAUCCCUGCUGUUUCCUGAUUCAAGGGCUGCCCCAUUAUACAAGUUCUGGUCUCCUCAGUGGGGACAAUAAGAAAAACAUUUGAUUCGAUAACAUAUAAACCACUAGUGUGAGAUUCAUGCAGCAUCAUAGGAAGGGGGGUGAUGUGUUUGAAAACAGUGAGCAGGCUAAUGUAUUAAUCUGCUAAUUCUGUCUCCUGAGUUUUCUCUCUUUUCCUCCCUCCUGCCACAUGAAGUGUGCUUGGCUUCUUACCUACCAUAAUUAGACAUCUUUUCUUCCUCAGAGAAGGCAUGAGACAGGGAUUUGAUUGUAGUUAUCACUGUAAACAUCAAACUGAUUUUUAUGCAGAACUAUUGCCCCAGGGCAUACCUUCCAAGGAACCUGGUCUCUCCUUACCUAGCGAAUUCCACAUACACAUAGAUGUACACCUACCUGUACACUCACAGAUUGGGUGGUGAUUAAAGGGACAGAAUCGGGGACCAGCUUCUUGUUAGGAAUGCAGUGUUGCCACGGCAUGACAGCAUGGAGCAGUUGAGGGAAUGGCUGCCCAGGAGAACUCAGAACUCUUGAAAUGUAGUUCCAGGCUGCCAUCAUUGCCCUGAUAUUCAGGCCGUCAGACAGAUGUGUGUUGUAGGCCCUGAACGGCACAGAGAGUGGCAGAACAGGCUACAUAAACAGCUCAGCCCAGAAUUGUCUUUCCAGACUGCCUGCCCUCAGUCACAACCCCCACCAGGGAAGGGAAGCGGCCCCAAGACUCCUUCCUCCUUCACCCACUCGAGGAAACAGAGUUCCUGUUACGUGGCAUGAAUGAUGUCUUUUGGCCCCAGUUAAUCCCUCUGAGUCACCAGGUGGCCUUUGCCAAGUGCUGGAGCUGGAAGAGAUGAUAGAGACACUCAUCUGGCGUCCUGAGGCUCUCCUCACAGCUGUUGAAUUCUAGAGCUGUUCUGAAAUAACCCUUGCCACAUGGGAACACAGUCUAUUCAACAUGAAGAAUUCAAACCUAACACAAGUGGGUGAGAAGCAGGAACCCACUGCUAGGCCCCACCGCGUUCCCUCAGAGGUGGUCUCAGUAGCUGGAACUUGGAGAAGUAGUUUUGGUGGGGUGUUGGGACGUGGGUGAAUCCAGGUCCUGGUUUGGAAUUGCUCUGGUGGGAACCGUCAGCUAACGUCAGUUGGAAGCUCUGUGUCCUCCCCCUCCUGAGUCCUGUUUUUCCUGGAGGACCUUGGCCCACCCCUGUGGAAUGUGGGGAUGUGGGGAAGAAAGCUGACUGCUUUUACUCCCACUCAGAAAAUUCGGUUGCGCUCUUCUUCAAGGGGGUGCUCCUCAGCCUGCACCCCAGUGAAGGGGCCUCUGAGGAACUCCCAGUGCCACUGGCAAACAGUCUGUAACCUUUGGGCCCCAGCCACCUCCCAGCCCCUGUUCUCUUAAUUCCUGCCUUCUUGGCUUGGAGGGAGGAAUCUCCAUUUGUAAAAGCUGAGUUAGGGAACUAGAGGGUUCCUGAAGCUUUAAAGCGCCUCAAAGCCCUCACCCUGCACGUGACCUGUCACCUGGAGCCUGCCCCAGCCCCCACGCCUGCCUGUUCUUAUAGGGGCUCCGGUGCCUCCAGGGUCACACAGCACCAUGUGGAAACUAUUCCUCAGGGCAGCUCUCCUUGGCCUUUUUAUCCCCUGAAUCAUGCAUUUUUCUGCCCUUAUUUGGUGUGGUUUGGUUGCUGGGCAGCUGUCCAGGGUGAGUUUGCAGGAGGAAGCACAGCCAAGCAGCCUCGCUCUGCUUAUGGGACAGUCUUCCUCCCACCCUCCCUGAGAGUGAAAGGGCCCCACAGAGACCAUCAGGCAUGGAUGCUGAACUGCUGGGAAGGGAGCUCAGGCUUUUUCUUUUUAGUCCCCAAGAGAAGAAUUCUUUCUCAGAUGUUUUUGUGGUUGGAGAAUAUUUUUGCCAUUGCUUUGAGAAGACUUCCCCUCCUAACUCCCCCUCUUUCCUUGGAAUUUCCUUCCUUAAAUGGAAAGCCUUCAACAUUCACUCCAAGCUCGCCCUUUUGCUCCCCCAAGGAAAAAUAACAAGCAAACAGAG